rnacentral:lncRNA from 1 species
CCGCAUUCAACGCCCCGGGCUCAGCCGCGGCUGCGCCCGGAAUCCGGGGCCUCUCCUUCGUGACCCCGGAGUGGGCAAGUGACGAGGGCACGGCCAGAAACGCAUUGGCGUCAAGGAAACCACGACCCAUCUUCCUGGAAGGAAAUUUGGGGACACUUAUGAAGAGAAGACUAGGAAGGACCGGAGUAGAAGCACUAAAGGAGGAACCAUGUGGAAGGGAUAUAAAUAUCCCCCAGGAGGGACUCCAGUGGAAGUAAGCAAGGAUGAUCCUGGUGAAGUAAUGCAGCUGUGAAGCUCACCUGACCAGCUGUACAGUUCCUGUUGUUGGUUUCGCAUAAAGUAAUUGCACAUCAU